CAAUGGAGCGAUGGAAGAAGAUUGCAAGGUCUGACAAAUCAUAAUUUCUUAUAGAUCAGGUGGAUGUGCAUCAUUUACCUGGGGAACACAUGGCAGCAGGACACACUAUGGGAAGAAGGCAAGCCAUAAGAGGCAGUGUUAUGCUCUUGGCAAUGUUUUGCCAGGUAACCGUGGGUCCUGGCAAGCAUGUGCAUGUUACUUUGAUACAUACCAUCUAUG